rnacentral:tRNA from 2 species
GGUCGCUUAGCUCAGUUGGUUAGAGCGUGGUGCUAAUACCCUGGCAGUCCACACACAGUGGACUACAAGUUAACGCCAAGGUCGCGAGUUCGACCCUCGUAGUGACCA